rnacentral:piRNA from 1 species
UGUUCUCUUAGGGUCUGUAUGACAUCUGCC